rnacentral:snoRNA from 1 species
CUUCAGUGAUGAUAAGAUGACGAGUCAGAACAGGACUUUGUGGUUCUGGUGGCAACUGGUCCAGACCUACGUUCUGUGGUUCUGCUCCAGCUCCUCAGAUCAAGGGGUCCUUUUCAAUUGAAGACAUUGAGGCAUUUGUCUGAGAAGG